GAUGAUUGGCGAGAUCUGAGGGCAAAUUAGACAUUUUGAAAACUUUCUACGGCGUUUCUGAUAAUCGUCAACUUUCUUUUUUUGGUUUUAUGAUAAGAAAGGUGAUUCCCCGAUAUAUCGUCAACUUUAACAGAAGAGUAGAUCCAUGGGAUAAACAUAAAUGAUAAACCCAAUGUUUACCUUCAUUUUACCAGCGAAUGAUACGAUAAUAACGCCAUAGACUUCCAAUGAUAAUGUUGAAAAUGGUGGCAUCUCUCUAAAAUUUUAUCAGAGCGAUUAAUAAAAGGCGUUUUGUUUUUGUUACUGAAUCCUGCCUGCUUCGAUUCAAAGGAAAAUGGCUCUAAAUCCUUCCCUGUUGCCUGAGAUCGGACCCGAUGGCCUCGCUAGAGAAGCCCCUGUUAUUGCCUACACUGAGAAGAUAAUUGAGGAAGAACAGCUGCAAUUAAAGAAGUGUUACAGGAGUCCUGGAAAUAAUAAUUUGGUCCUAAUGGAUGCUGAAGUGAUAACAUAAUU